rnacentral:rRNA from 1 species
GUUGCGGUUAAAAAGCUCGUAGUUGGAUUUCUUCUCUUGUCAGCCGGUCCUCACUUCGUGAGAGUAUCUGGUCAGAUUUGAGAAUCCUCUUGUGGAACGUCGCUGCGCUUGAUUGCGUGGCACGGUAUCCAAGACUUUUACUCUGAGGAAAUUGGAGUGUUCACGGCAGGCACUCGCCUUGUACACAUUAGCAUGGAAUAAUAAUAUAGGAUCGCGAUUCUAUUUUGUUGGUUUCUAGAGUUGUGAUAAUGAUUAAUAGGGACAAUUGGGGGCAUUUGUAUUAACACGUCAGAGGUGGAAUUCUUGGAUUGUGUUACGACAAACUACUGCGAAAGCAUUUGCCAAGGAUGUUUUCAUUGAUCAAGAACGAAAGUAAGGGGAUCGAAGACGAUUAGAUACCGUCGUAGUCUUUACCAUAAACUAUGCCAACUAGAGAUUGGGCGUCGUUUCUUAUAUGACUCGCUCAGCACCUUAUGAGAAAUCAAAGUUUUUGGGUUCCGGGGGGAGUAUGGUCGCAAGGCUGAAACUUAAAGGAAUUGACGGAAGGGCACCACCAGGAGUGGAGCCUGCGG